rnacentral:rRNA from 1 species
UACAGAGGUGGCAAGCGUUGUUCGGAAUUACUGGGCGUAAAGGGCGCGUAGGCGGUCCGAUAAGUCCUGUGUGAAAUCCCUCGGCUCAACUGAGGAACUGCACGGGAGACUGCCGGGCUUGAGUUCGGGAGAGGGAAGCGGAAUUCCGGGUGUAGCGGUGAAAUGCGUAGAUAUCGGGAGGAACACCAGUGGCGAAGGCGACUACCUGGCCUGUUCUUGACGCUGAGGCGCGAAAGCUAGGGGAGCAAACGGG